rnacentral:tRNA from 1 species
GGGGUUGUGGCUCAGUGGUAGGGUGCUUGCCUAGCAUACAUGAGGCACUGAGUUCAAUCCUCAGCACCACA